rnacentral:rRNA from 1 species
AUGGGCAGCGUCGACGCCUCCGAGACGACGGUCACCGGGUGGGCCGCCAGGGACGCCACCGGCCACCUCUCCCCCUACACAUACACUCUCAGGAAAACAGGCCCUGAAGAUGUGGUGUUGAAGGUUAAGUACUGCGGCAUCUGCCACACUGACAUCCACCAGGUCAAGAACGACCUCGGUGCUUCCAAGUACCCCAUGGUCCCAGGGCAUGAGGUGGUUGGCGAGGUGGUGGAGGUCGGGCCGGAGGUGAGCAAGUUCCGCGCCGGCGACGUGGUCGGAGUGGGCGUGAUCGUGGGGUGCUGCCGCGACUGCCGGCCGUGCAAGGCCAACGUCGAGCAGUACUGCAACAAGAAGAUCUGGUCGUACAACGACGUCUACACCGACGGCAAGCCGACGCAGGGCGGCUUCGCCUCCGCCAUGGUCGUCGAUCAGAAGUUCGUGGUGAAGAUCCCGGCCGGGCUGGCGCCGGAGCAGGCGGCGCCGCUGCUGUGCGCGGGCGUGACGGUGUACAGCCCGCUGAAGCACUUCGGGCUCAUGACCCCCGGCCUCCGCGGCGGCAUCCUGGGCCUGGGCGGCGUGGGCCACAUGGGCGUGAAGGUGGCCAAGUCCAUGGGCCACCACGUGACGGUGAUCAGCUCGUCCAACAAGAAGCGGGCCGAGGCCAUGGACGACCUGGGCGCCGACGCGUACCUCGUCAGCUCCGACGCCGACCAGAUGGCCGCCGCCGCCGACUCGCUGGACUACAUCAUCGACACGGUGCCCGCGAAGCACCCGCUGGAGCCCUACCUGGCGCUGCUCAAGAUGGACGGCAAGCUGGUGCUGAUGGGCGUGAUCGCGGAGCCGCUCAGCUUCGUGUCCCCCAUGGUGAUGCUGGGGAGGAAGACCAUCACGGGGAGCUUCAUCGGGAGCAUGGACGAGACGGAGGAGGUGCUCCAGUUCUGCGUCGACAAAGGGCUCACCUCGCAGAUCGAGGUCGUCAAGAUGGACUACGUCAACCAGGCGUUCGAGAGGCUCGAGCGCAACGACGUCCGCUACCGCUUCGUCGUCGACGUCGGCGGGAGCAACAUCGAGGACGCCGCCUGA